GUGGGGAAUCUUCCGCAAUGGACGAAAGUCUGACGGAGCAACGCCGCGUGAACGAUGACGGCCUUCGGGUUGUAAAGUUCUGUUAUACGGGACGAAUGGUACGACGGUCAAUACCCGUCGUAAGUGACGGUACCGUAAGAGAAAGCCACGGCUAACUACGUGCCAGCAGCCGCGGUAAUACGUAGGUGGCAAGCGUUGUCCGGAAUUAUUGGGCGUAAAGGGCGCGCAGGCGGCGUCGUAAGUCGGUCUUAAAAGUGCGGGGCUUAACCCCGUGAGGGGACCGAAACUGCGAUGCUAGAGUAUCGGAGAGGAAAGCGGAAUUCCUAGUGUAGCGGUGAAAUGCGUAGAUAUUAGGAGGAACACCAGUGGCGAAAGCGGCUUUCUGGACGACAACUGACGCUGAGGCGCGAAAGCCAGGGGAGCGAACGGGAUUAGAUACCCUGGUAGUCC
rnacentral:rRNA from 1 species